CAAGUGUUACAGGGUCCAGGUUCCUCCACCCCAAGCUAUAUGCUAUUUAUCCAAAUAUAAGGUCAUACAUCAAGAGUAUUCAUACAAAAAAGUUCUUCCAAAACUAAUAUUUAGGAGAGUUCAGUUUAUAGUAAAAAAAUGCAUAUCCGAUUUCCCAUCUUACCAGUGUUAUCCAGUCAUUUGAUGUUUCUACUUCAUGUCUAUUCUAGAAUACACAUUUAACUUCGGUGGAGGAUAUACCAAAUGAAGGUAUGCUAGCUUUUUGAGUUGAAAUGGAAAAAAUACGUCUAGAAAAGAAAAUUCAAGAUGCUAAAAUCAUGCAACUAGAAGAGAAGAUGAGAAGCAUGGAAAGACAACCAAAUAAGGUAAAUUUCUAUCAACUGUAACCUUCAUUUAUUUUGUGGGAUAACCUUUCUGUAUUUCUAUCAUAGGAAAUUUCAGAUCCAAUGGCUACAAGCCUACAAGUUGGCUUGAACCUUCGGUCAUGGACAUAAUUCAAACAGAAAAGUUUGUAUCGUGACACAGUACACAAUAAAAUUCAUCAAAUUUCCCUCCAAAAAUUAUGGUCUCAACUAAUAUUUGUGUUAUGCUAUCAGUAGAGUGUGCUUGCUCCUUCUGUUGAUGGACCCCGACUUGUUAAAAAUGACUACAGAACAAGCCAAGUGGUUUAAAUGGUGCAGAUUUGCAAGCAUCAAACAACCAUUCUGUUCUAGAUAAGGUUUGUCUACUUGAGUACUCUUUGGAACCUGUUAUUGUUGAGGAUUAAUUUGUUACGCUUGCACCUUUUGAAUUUACAUAUACAAUACCCAUAACUUGAUGUGUAUCAUUGUAUCCUAGAACAAAGAAAAUAUGGUUCAUAAUGGUGGCAGUGCACGACCACUAGAAAAAUGUUCUGCUGCACACAAGGUAUCUUCAUAGUCUCAUAUACAAAAUUAUGAUCACACUAUAGUGCUCCCAUGUUUAUGUGUUUACUUGUUGCUAUCAGAAUGUUAUCCAGAACAAAGAAACUUUUGAUUAGAAUUUUAGUGCACGGCAAGGGGAAAUAAAUUCCGUUGCACAUAAGGUAUAUUUGCAUUACCAUAUACACACAGUAUUUUCAAUAUAUAUUGCUUCGAUGGUUAUUAUGUAUCUACUGGUCGUCUUGCUAUCAGACUGAUGUUGAGAACAAAGAAACUUUGCUUGAGAAUGUCAGCACACGCCAGGGAAAACUUAUACUGCAAACAAGCAGGUAUCUUUUCAUAAUCACAUACAAAUUUGUGUGCAAACUAUAGUAUUAGCUUGUUUAUUUGUUUAUUACUUCUUCUUUGCCAUCAUACUAUUGUCCGGAGCAAAAAAAGAACAAAACGUGCUAAUGUAUGCAGUAAGACUGCACAAAGUGGAUUGCUGAGUUGGUUGGGUGUUGUGAACUAUUUGUAAGAGUGCUCAAAUUCAUUUCAUAUGUUCCCUUGUUUUGUUUUUGUUUUUUCAUGGGUGAUGAGGAUGAUUCUUCCAAUGGUAACUUUGAUUUUCUCUAACAGGUAUGAACUAAAGUAUUGUUGAAGAGCCUGAAAAAGGAUGUAGCUCUUUCUACAACUGUAAGUUAUGAUCCUAAAUUCAAACAUGAUGGUGCUGAAAUUAUAAAAGAAUUUUCUGCUGUGCAUAUUGAUGUGGCACUUGUGAAAACUGAAUUUGGUAUGGAGAUGCAAAAACUGCCAUACUCUUGCUAAUGUAGAAAAAAAAACAAAGCUUGCAUGGCAUUCAACCUUUGUACGUGACUAAUAUCUUGCCUCUAUUACUACUUGCAUCAUGUCAAUGCAUUGUGUUAACAGUUCAUUUUGUUUUAUUGUUUGUAGAUUCAAGAGAUAAAUGGACGAGUAUAUGGGUGCGUGGCAAGUAUACUGCAAUGGUGAUGUCAAUGUUUCGGGUCAUGUUGAUGAUGAUGAUGGAUGCUUUGAGUUUCGUUUAUGUUGUAGGAAUGGCAGUCCUGCUGGAUGUUUUUCCUCGGUUAAAUUUUAGUUAAGUUUUCGGGAUGUUGAUGGAUGCUAUCAGUUUAAGUUUUGCUGUCAAGAAAAUAGAUAGAUUAUGCAUCACAUUUGGAUGAUGUUCCUCUUGUAAUAUCCACUAUUGUAAUCCAACAAUUUUAUCUAAUAUAUGAUUUCUUACUCUUGUGAGUAUAUUCUCUUGUUUUUCGUUCACUUGAAAAAC
rnacentral:lncRNA from 1 species